rnacentral:rRNA from 1 species
GACGAACGCUGGCGGCGUGCUUAACACAUGCAAGUCGAACGGAAAGGCCCUGCUUUUGUGGGGUGCUCGAGUGGCGAACGGGUGAGUAACACGUGAGUAACCUGCCCUUGACUUUGGGAUAACUUCAGGAAACUGGGGCUAAUACCGGAUAGGAGCUCCUGCUGCAUUGUGGGGGUUGGAAAGUUUCGGCGGUUGGGGAUGGACUCGCGGCUUAUCAGCUUGUUGGUGGGGUAGUGGCUUACCAAGGCUUUGACGGGUAGCCGGCCUGAGAGGGUGACCGGCCACAUUGGGACUGAGAUACGGCCCAGCCUCCUACGGGAGGCAGCAGUGGGGAAUAUUGCACAAUGGGCGGAAGCCUGAUGCAGCAACGCCGCGGGCGGGAUGACGGCCUUCGGGUUGUAAACCGCUUUCGCCUGUGACGAAGCGUGAGUGACGGUAAUGGGUAAAGAAGCACCGGCUAACUACGUG